GAGCAAUGCACAUAUACUAAAAUUGGGGUGACACAGAGAAGACUAGCAUGGCCUAUGUGCAAGGAUGACAUACAGAUUCUUGAAGCAUUCCAUAUUUUU
ensembl:snRNA U6 U6 spliceosomal RNA